UUGGAUCCGGCCCCUCUCCAAAAAGGGAGGGAAGGACAUGCAGGAAAGCUGGGGAGCGGGACUGAGGGGGCGGAACUUGCGUUAACUGGACCCAAUGGAAAGAUAGACCGCCCCCGCAAGCGUAGCGGAUUUGCUGAACGUGUCCUACUUUCGCCCUCCAUUGGGCGGUUGUGGGAGCGGAUAGAGGACGAUGAUUGGUAGAAAAGGAAGUAGAAGUGGGGGCCAUCUCAGCGGGGCUGGGAUAGGUGGAGCGACGCCUGCAAUUCCCUGCUGCAGAGAAGGGGUUGGGAGGGGGAAGAGGAGGCGAGGUAUUUACUGCGCAAGCGUCUCUCUGAUCGCCCUCUUACCCUGAGCUCUUAAACCCUCUUCCAGGAAGCCUUCCUUCCCUUUCCCCUCUUCUUUUCUACAGCGGACAAGCUGUCAGUUCUUGGGCCUGUCAAGAGACGUAGACUCUCACGGGGGAGAAACGGUAAUCCAAAUCUAGUCCCGUUAAGCAAGGGUUAAAAUUUAAAACCAGAGAGGUUGAGUGACUUGCCCUAGGGCGCACAGCUCGGCAGUCAGAAAUUUAAACUCUGUUGGCUUUUAGCUACUAUUCAAUAUGGAUUGUUUAUUGUUUUUGCAACCAUAAAGCCUCAGGCAACCUCCAUUGUAGCAGAUAUCAAAUCAAACUUGUGGUUAUCUCCACCAAAAUUGGAGCUCCUAAACGCAAAAAGGAUCUGGUAUUGACGAGCUCAACACUGGCUUCCUCUCGGCGCUCCAGACAGUCUCUGGUUGACUGGCUUUGGGGAAGGCAAAGCUUCCGGAUCUUCAAAGCCCCAAGCUAUUGUGAAAUUUAGGGAAAAGGGAUCUGGAGGAAUCCAUUUCGGUCACAUCGAGGAAGAAAACUCCAUCCCACCAUCCUCUUCUGAUUUCCGAAGCCAAGUAGUAUUCCUGGAAUGAGCUUUGGAGGAGUGUCCUGGAUCCUGGGAACUUCUACUCCGAAUCUUGCGGGGAUGGGGAGGCAACAGCGAGAAGAGUCCCCCCUCCCCCGCCCAGGUUCAAUGGAUCCGUCCAUUUGCGUUUCCAGGAAAGGGGCAUGGGAAAGUCCAUUCUGGAUUCCAGGGAGGCCGGGCUCUUCUUCACUCAGCUGUUUUGGUGAUUGAGAGCGUACAUCCCUAACAAUAGGAGGGGGCAUGUCUGCCUCUAAGAAACAUAAGAGUAGCUUCAUCUGGAGUUGAAUAAGUCCUUUUUGUGGAAAAUGACAUUAACUGGUCCAAAACUGAAGAAGUCCAUUGAAGGUAUAGGGAGGAAACACUUUCUCCCUAAGGAUUAUAGUUGUUGUUAGUUGCCAUCUGACUCAUGGAGACCUCAGGCACAACAGAACCAAAUGCUGCUAGGUCCUGCGCUAUCCCCACGAUUGGUUGUGGAUCAGACCCUUGUGACCCAUAGGAUUUUCAUUAGUCUGGAACCAAAAACCAAACUCCUUGCCUGUCGUGUAGAUUCUGACUCAUAGCCACCCUAUAGUAGUCUGGAAGUUCUAUGCAUCAAUAUGCGCAAGUCUGCACUGACAGACGAGUAUUGGCUGUGCAUGAGGUUCACUGGCCGGGAAUCGAAUCCAGAACUCCCAAAUGGAAGCAAGCAGUUUGUCUUUGGGUGCAUCAGGCCGGAAAAGUCAUUGCCUAUCAGAAGAAUCCCCUUCCAGGACUGGAGUUAAAGAGAGCCGGCAAGUAGACAGCCUGGUAUGCUCGCUUUUGGUGACCAUCUGGGUCGACUCGACACCAGACAGGAUGAAGCCGAGAUGACUUUUAAAAGAACCUGACCAGAUGAGAUGGACACCUGCAGCAGACUUGAAUGGCUGGUACCUGAGUAAUAUCAACCUUAGGACUCUUUUGCCCCACUGAAGAACUAAUUGUUAAUGACUGAUUUGGACUGGUAAAAUGAUUGGGAGGGGGAAGUUAUCCUCCAAGUAUGAAAGGACUAUGGCUAGAAAAGCCAGGGGGUGGCCUGCAGUGUGAUGGAUUGCUUUGGUGUAGCCUUUCUUGCCAUGGUCUUGGUCUUAUAACUCCCACGCAAUCACUUGGGUGGAACUGUGCAAAUAGGGUGAUUGUGGCCCACCAAGGGGAUUGGUCAGUUUUGCCAUCCUGCUGAGCUUGAAAUGAGCCACUCCAGUGGGAAUGAAGAUCUUACCACCACCAAGGAAAAAGGGUCAAGAGCAGAGCACAUUCUUUGGACCUGAGAUCCCUGUGCUGAGAAGCUCCUGGAACCAGGAGACCCCCAGGAGAGAGAGAGCUGUAACAUUGAAGACCGCAAGAAGUGGUGGCAGCGAAAGAACAGCAGGAGAGAGUCGCAGGAGAAGCCAACAGGACAGCCAGCAGGAGAGACAACAGGAACCCACAGAACUAGAGCUAAGUGCCUUCAGGCAGGAGGCUUGCUGGUGAAGUGGGGUGCCUCUGGGUCCUUAUCUGUGGUGCUAAAAGAGCUUUGUAACACUUCCCUGAGCAGAGCAGAGGCUGAGGGGCCAGAGAGAGGCAUGCCUGCCAGCAAGGCUGAGAAAAUGCUGUCCUGAUGGAAGAAUUGUCUCUUGAGUGUUCCUGAGCCUGAAUUGUAACCUGUUACUUCCUUAGUAAACCCCAUAAUCAUUGGUAUUGUUUGUGAGUUCUGUGUGGCCAUUGCAAUGAAUUAUAGAACCCAACAGAGAAGUAGAGAAUGCCAUGGGAGGGACAGCUGGUGUCAGAAUUGGUAAAGAUGGUGGAGAGAAGAGGUGUGUCUGAAUGCCGCCUCAUAGAAGUCAGUCUUGGGCUGUUGAUCUUGACUCUCCUUACCCCUUGUGAUGUGUGAUGUUAGAGGAGGUCAAAUGCCGCCUUCAUGCCAUUUGUCACAGAUUGAAUUGUGUCCCCCAAAAAUAUGUGUCGACUUGUUUAGGCCAUGAUUCCCAGUAUUGUGUGGUUAUCCUCCAUUUUGUGAUUGUAAUUUCCCUAUGUGUUGUACAUCCUAAUCUCUGCCUGUGGUUAAUAAGGCAAGAUUAGAGGAUGAGGGUGGGAUCGUAACACCCUUACUAAGGUCACAUUCCUGAUUCAAUGUAAACUGAGUUUCCUUGGCCUGUGGCUUACACCACCUUUUAUUUUACAAGUGAUAAAAGGAAAGGGAAGUGAGCAGAGAGGAGGGACCUCAUAACACCAAGAAAGCAGCGCCAGGAGCAGAGUGCAUCUUUCGGACCUGGCGUUCCUGCUCAGAGAAGCUCCUACUCCAGGGGAAGACUGAUGACAGGGACCUUCCUCUAGAGCCAACAGAGAAAGCCUUCCCCUGGAGCUGAUGCCCUGAAUUUGGACUUCUAGCCUACUAAAAACCAAAAAAGACCAAACCCGUUGUCAUCGAGUUGAUUCCGACUCAUAGUGACCUUAUAGGACAGAGUAGAACUGCCCAUAGGCUUUCCAAGGAGCACCUGAUGGAUUCUAGCCUGCUAGACAGUGAGAGAAUAAACUUCUCUUUGUUAAAGCCACUCACUUGUGGUAUUUCUGUUACAGCAGCAUUAGGUCAGUGUAGGGUAUAUCUUAAACCAAUAACCUUUGACACAUAAAGCAAGCUGAUCAGGCACAGGGAAACAAGCAUAGUUGGGGGAAAAUAGAUACCAUGAGAUCUCCAAGUGUAAAAAAUGGUGGCACAGCUGUGUCUGACCUCCUCUGACCUCACAAGGGUGAAGAAGAAACUAGAUUAACAGCUCAAGGCUGAUUCCUAUGAGGUGGAGUUCAGGCAUACCUCCUCUCUCCAACCUCUUUACCAAUUCUGACGCCAGCCGUCUUUCCCACGGCACUCUUGUUUUUCUGCUAGGUUCCAUAAUUAGUUACAAUGGCUACAUAGAACUCACAGACAAUAUUCACAAUUAUGGGGUUUAUGAGGGAAGUAACAGGUUACUAUUCAGGAUCAGGAACAACUCAGGAUACAGUUCUUCAGUCAGGACAGCUUCUUGUCUGCGCCCACAGGCAUGCCUCUCCCUGGCCCUCAGCCUUUCGGCUCUUGGCCUUCGACUCCUCAGGGGUCUUGGGCCUUUUGGGCCGGCCCAGCCUAUGCCUUGCUUGGGCAAAUGUUACAAAGCUCUUUAAUUCGCCGAUAAGUGCCUGGGGCACCCCACUCCACCCGUAAGCCUCGGCUUGAAGGUGCUCAGCUCUCUCACUUCGUGGGUUGGUGAACCUAGUUCUGUCAAGUGCCCAGAGACACCUCACUUUGCCAGCAAGCCUCCUGCCCAAAGCACUCUGCUUUCUCGCUCUGUGGGCCAGAAAGCCCACUGUGUCAUCUUUGCUGGACUCCCAGUUCUGCUGCUGUUGUUUCUCUGCCACCACUUCUCACUGUCUUGAGCCAUCUCUGAUGUUACAGCUCUCUGUCUCCUGAGUCUAGCAGGUUCUCAGCACAGGGAUCCUCGGUCCAAAGGACACACUCCACUCCUAGCUGUUCUUGGUGGUAGUGAGUCCCACCCUCUCUGCUCACUUCUCUCUCCUUUUGUCUCUUGUAAGAUAAAAAGUGUGACUUGAAUAAGAAUGGAAAGAGUGGUGACUGAGUUAACCCUUUCAAGAAGCAAUUGUUUUCUGCUUUGAAUUUUUUGUAGAUACCACGUGUUUUCAUUAAUGGAAGCAUGCUGAAUCACUGAGUGUUGUUGAAUUUUUGGUAGGUAGUAUGGAUUUUGUUUUCUUGCCCCCUCCCACAAGCCUACCCUUAGAAUCCAGAGGGACAUCCAUUGCCCCACUAAUUCUACCCCCAGAGUCCCCUCUGAGCCCACUGGGACAUACAUGUCUCCACAAAAUUUCUAUUUUUUUCCUACCAAAAAUGCACACAGCUCAAUGCACAAUACCCUGUAGAAACAGUAAUUUGUGGCACACUCCUGUUUUUUUCAGUUUUAAACAGUCAUAAAGGCUUCUGCCUUGUGCCAGCAUGCACCCUCAGUGGGAAAGUAGCUUCCCAAUGAACAUAAGAGGCAGAAAAUGUUGAUGGACAACCGUAUAUCCCACUGGUCAUGAAAAGGGUAAGGAUGGUGACGUGAGUCAUACCCUCUAGUAAGGCAUUGACUCAAGAUACAUCCUACAGUAAUUCUUUCUCGUUAACAUAAGGGACAACUCACUCCCAAAUGGGACUAUAACCAUAGGCAUAGAGGCUAGGAUUUAUACCACAUCACAAAAUGGAGCAUAAUUAUAUCAGAUUUCAAAAUGGAGAAUUACUACAUCAUUACAUAACUUCUAAAUUACUUCAUUACAUAACUGCCAAAUGACUGAGAAUUAUUUUCCAGCCAAGGUGACACAUAACCAUCACAGGUUCCAUACACCUUAUUUGCAUAGUCUCGCCAGUCAUUGUGUGGGAAUCACAAAGGCUAGGCCUACCCGUUGUCGUCAAGUCAAUUCCGACUUAUAGCGACCCUAUAGGACGGAGUAGAACUGCGCCAGACGGUUUCCAAGGAGCAGCUGCUGGAUUCAAACUGCCAACCUUUUGGUUGGCGGAUGCCUAGAAGGGCCAUAUUAAGUAGUUCACUGCACCACACCAAGGAAUCGAGAAAGAGAAGCUGAGAAGAGACCAGGACCUUCCCCCAGAGCCAACAGAAAGCCUUCCACUAUAGCCAGUGCCCCGAAUUCAGACUUACAGCCUUCUAAACUGUGAGAAAAUAAAUGAGUUUGCUACAGUUACCCAUUUGUGCUAUUUCUGUUAUAGCAGCACUAGAUAACUAAGACAUUCCUGCAUUAACAUAAACUCACUGACCUCUAAGUUUCCUAUCUAACCUUUCAAGUUGCUCUUGUCAAUUUGAUCCCAUAUAGCUAGUUCUUCAAAACAGCACAACACUAAAGGCAGACAUUCUUUGCUGGUUAAGCUGAGCUAUUGUUUGGUUUAAAGAAGACUUCAGGGUAUAUUUUUUGCCAUCUUGUUUUUUUUAAUUGUGCUUUAAGUGAAAGUUUAUAAUUCAAGUUGGUUUUUCGUACAAAAACUUAUAUACACAGUGUUAUGUGACCCUAGUUGUUCUCCCCACAAUGUGACAGCACACUGCCGUCCACCCUGUAUAUCUCAUGUCCGUUCAACCAGCUCCUGUCCCCCUCUGCCUUCUCAUCUCGACUCCAGACAGGAGCUGCCCACAUAGUCUCACGUGUCUACUUGAGCUAAGAAGCACAUUCUUCACCAGUAUCAUUUUAUGUCCUAUCCCAAACCCACUCUAGUCCAGUCUAAUCUUUGUCUAAAGUGCUGGGUUAAGGAAUGGUUUCAGUUUGGGGCUAAUAGAGAAUCCGGGGGCCAUGACCGCUGGGGUCCCUCCAGUCUCAGUCAGAUCAUUAAGUCUGGUCUUUUUACUAGAGUUUGGGUUCUGCAUCCCACUUUUCUCCUGCUCCAUCAGGGAUUCUCUGUGUUCUUUUCUUUUUUUUUUAAUGCUUUCCAAGUAAAUUGCAGAAGAAGUACGUUACCCCCAAAUACUUCAACAUUAAUUAUAGUUUAGAUUCUUUUGUACUGUGGUAAAAUAUAUAUAGCAUAGAAUUUGCCAUUUUAACCAUUUUUUAAGUGUACAACCCAGAGGCAUUAAUCACAUCCACAAUGUUGUACAACCAUCGCCACUAUCUGUUUUCAAAACUUUUUCAUCACCCCAAUCGGAAAAUCUGUACCCAUGUCUGAGGCUCGCUAUAUUUCAGUGAAAUGGCUCACAAACCCGUGGGUCAGGCAGCAGGCUGGAGGCUUCUGACUCAGGUGGUUGGAGGGGCUGAUAAACCCAAAAUCUGCAGUUCAGGUGGCAGGCCGAAGGCUUCUCACGUUCCGAGAAUCGGAGGUCAGAAGAUGACAAGAUGAACGCAGGAUCAAAAGACUGUGAGCUUUGCCCCAACGUUUGUUUUCAUAUCAUGAAUGCAGGCCACACCCCCAAGGAAACACCUCUUCCAACUGAUUGGCUGCUCACAUAAGAUCACAAAAUGGGAGGUAAUUACAUAGUGUCUGCCAAACCACUGAGAAUCAUAGCCUAGCCAAGUAGACACAUGACAUUAACCCUCACAACCCAUUAAUCAUUUACUCCCCAUUCCCCCUCCCCUCAGUCCCUGGUAGCCACCAAUCUCCUGUCUCUGUGCAUUUACCUAUUCUAGAUACCUCAUGUGAGUAGAGUCAGACAAUAUUUGUCCUUUUGUGUCUGGCUGAUUUCACUCAGCACUAUGUUUUCAAGGUUCACCCAUGUCCCAGCAUGUAUCAGAACUUAGAUUCUUUUUUGAUAGGUGAAAUUCACACACAAUAAAAGCCUCAAAUCUCAAGUGCACAAGUUGGUGAGUUUUAACAAAUGCACACGCCUGCCAUGACUUGAUUUUGAUUCCAUUUAUAUGACUUAUCAGUCCGAGUGGUGCUGUCAGUGUGCUCAGCUGCUAACUGAAUGGUUGGAAGCUUGAGUCCACCCAGAGGUGCCUCAGAAGAAAAGCCUGGCAAUGUACUUCCAAAAAAAAAAUUAGCCAUUGAAAACCCUCUGUAGCACAGUUCUAUUCUGACACACACGGGGUCACCCAGAGUUAGCGCCCACUUGAAGACAACUGGUUUUUAUAUCACUCAAUGCCUGAGGUCCCUGGGUGGUACAAACACUGUGCUUGACUACUGUCUUGGUCAUCUAGUGCUGCUAUAACAGAAAUACCAGAAGUGGUUGGCUUUAACAAAGAGAAAUUUAUUCUCUCACAGUCCCGUAGGCUAGAAGUCCAAAUGUAGGGCACCAGCUCCAGGGGAAAGCUUUCUCCCUUCUGUCAACUCUGGAGGAAGGUCCUUGUCAUCAAUCUUCCCAUGGUCUCGGAGCUUCCUGCACAGGCACCCCGGGUCCAAAGGACC